UGUAAUUAAGUGUAAUUGGGGCACGUAAAUUUUUGAUUUUUAAAGUUGAGUUCAAUUCUCAGUAUUACAA
rnacentral:tRNA from 1 species